UACGGGGGGGGCAAGCGUUGCUCGGAAUCACUGGGCGUAAAGCGCACGUAGGCGGAUCUUUAAGUCAGGGGUGAAAUCCCAAGGCUCAACCUUGGAACUGCCUUUGAUACUGGGGAUCUCGAGUCCGGAAGAGGUUGGUGGAACUGCGAGUGUAGAGGUGAAAUUCGUAGAUAUUCGCAAGAACACCAGUGGCGAAGGCGGCCAACUGGUCCGGCACUGACGCUGAGGUGCGAAAGCGUGGGGAGCAAACAGG
rnacentral:rRNA from 1 species